GAUGAACGCUAGCGGCAGGCUUAAUACAUGCAAGUCGUGGGGCAGCAGCUUUAUAGCAAUAUAGAGGCUGGCGACCGGCAAACGGGUGCGGAACACGUACUGAACCUUCCUUUAAGUAGGGAAUAGCCCAGAGAAAUUUGGAUUAAUACCCCGUAACAUAUAAAAGUGGCAUCACUUUUAUAUUAAAGCUCCGGCGCUUAAAGAUGGCAGUGCGGCUGAUUAGGUAGUUGGCGGGGUAACGGCCCACCAAGCCUACGAUCAGUAACUGGUGUGAGAGCACGACCAGUCACACGGGCACUGAGACACGGGCCCGACUCCUACGGGAGGCAGCAGUAAGGAAUAUUGGUCAAUGGACGGAAGUCUGAACCAGCCAUGCCGCGUGGAGGAUGAAGGUCCUCUGGAUUGUAAACUUCUUUUAUCUGGGACGAAAAAGGGCUUUUCUAAGUCAACUGACGGUACCAGAUGAAUAAGCACCGGCUAACUCCGUGCCAGCAGCCGCCGUAAAAC
rnacentral:rRNA from 1 species